UACAGAGGUCUCAAGCGUUGUUCGGAUUCAUUGGGCGUAAAGGGCGCGUAGGCGGCGGGGUAAGUCGGGUGUGAAAUCUCAGAGCUCAACUCUGAAACUGCACUCGAUACUGCUCUGCUUGAGGACUGGAGAGGAGACUGGAAUUCACGGUGUAGCAGUGAAAUGCGUAGAGAUCGUAAGGAAGACCAGUGGCGAAGGCGGGUCUCUGGACAGUUCCUGACACUGAGGCACGAAGGCCAGGGGAGCAAACGGG
rnacentral:rRNA from 1 species